rnacentral:rRNA from 1 species
GACAGAGGGUGCAAACGUUGCUCGGAAUUACUGGGCGUAAAGCGCGUGUAGGUGGGUUGGUGUGUCAGAUGUGAAAUCCCUGGGCUCAACCCAGGAACUGCACCUGAAACUACCAGUCUUGAGUGGUGGAGAGGGAAGUGGAAUUCCUGGUGUAGAGGUGAAAUUCGUAGAUAUCGGGAGGAACACCAGUGGCGAAGGCGGCUUCCUGGACACCAACUGACGCUGAGGCGCGAAAGCGUGGGUAGCAAACAGA